rnacentral:rRNA from 1 species
CCUACGGGAGGCAGCAGUGGGGAAUAUUGGGCAAUGGAGGCAACUCUGACCCAGCAACGCCGCGUGUAUGAUGAAGGUCUUCGGAUUGUAAAGUUCUUUUCUAAGGGAAGAAGAAAGUGACGUUACCUUAGGAAUCAGCCUCGGCUAACUACGUGCCAGCAGCCGCGGUAAUACGUAGGAGGCAAGCGUUAUCCGGAAUGACUGGGCGUAAAGGUUGCGUAGGUGGUUUGACAAGUUAGUAGCGCAACUCCGUAGAUCAACUUCGGAACUACUACUAAAACUGUUGGACUUGAGUUCCGGAGAGGCAAUCAGAAUUCCUAGUGUAGCGGUGGAAUGCGUAGAGAUUAGGAGGAACACCAGUGGCGAAGGCGGAUUGCUAGAC